AGACGAGGAGCUUGCUCCUCUGACGUUAGCGGCGGACGGGUGAGUAACACGUGGAUAACCUACCUAUAAGACUGGGAUAACUUCGGGAAACCGGAGCUAAUACCGGAUAAUAUAUUGAACCGCAUGGUUCAAUAGUGAAAGACGGUUUUGCUGUCACUUAUAGAUGGAUCCGCGCCGCAUUAGCUAGUUGGUAAGGUAACGGCUUACCAAGGCAACGAUGCGUAGCCGACCUGAGAGGGUGAUCGGCCACACUGGAACUGAGACACGGUCCAGACUCCUACGGGAGGCAGCAGUAGGGAAUCUUCCGCAAUGGGCGAAAGCCUGACGGAGCAACGCCGCGUGAGUGAUGAAGGUCUUCGGAUCGUAAAACUCUGUUAUUAGGGAAGAACAAAUGUGUAAGUAACUAUGCACGUCUUGACGGUACCUAA
rnacentral:rRNA from 1 species